rnacentral:rRNA from 1 species
AAGACCUUGCACUUUUGGAGCGGCCGAUGUCUGAUUAGCUAGUUGGUGGGGUAAUGGCCUACCAAAGCUUCGAUCAGUAGCUGGUCUGAGAGGACGGCCAGCCACACUGGGACUGAGACACGGCCCAGWCUCCUACGGGAGGCAGCAGUGGGGAAUUUUGGACAAUGGGCGCAAGCCUGAUCCAGCCAUGCCGCGUGAGUGAAGAAGGCCUUCGGGUUGUAAAGCUCUUUCAGCCGGGAAGAAAAGGUUGCGACUAAUAAUCGCAAUCCAUGACGGUACCGAAAGAAGAAGCACCGGCUAACUACGUGCCAGCAGCCGCGGUAAUACGUAGGGUGCGAGCGUUAAUCGGAAUUACUGGGCGUAAAGGGUGCGCAGGCGGUUUUGUAAGUCAGAUGUGAAAUCCCCGGGCUUAACCUGGGAACU